rnacentral:rRNA from 13 species
GCAGUAACCAGGCCGCUGCGACUGUUUAUCAAAAACACAGCACUGUGCUAACUCGUAAGAGGACGUAUACAGUGUGACGCCUGCCCAAUGCCGGAAUGUCACGGAAGCGGGUUAGCUUCGGCGAAGCUCGUAACCUAAGCACCGGUCAAUGGCGGCCGUAACUAUGACGGUCCUAAGGUAGCGAAGUUCCUUGUCGGGUAAGUUCCGACCUGCAUGAAUGGCGUAAUGACUGGAGCACUGUCUCAACCACCGACCCGGUGAAAUUGUAGCCGUGGUGAAGAUGCCACGUUCCCGCGGUUAGACGGAAAGACCCCGUGCACCUUUACUGCAGCUUUAGAGUGGCAUUAGGAAAGAACUGUGUAGAAUAGGUGGGAGGCUUUGAAACUUGGGCGCCAGUCCGAGUGGAGCCAACCUGUGAAAUACCACCCUGUUGUUUUCUGAUGUCUAACCUAGGUCCGUUAUCCGGACCAGGGACCCUCUAUGGCGGGUAGUUUGACUGGGGCGGUCGCCUCCUAAAGAGUAACGGAGGCGCGCGAAGGUUCGCUCAG